UACGUAGGGUGCGAGCGUUGUCCGGAAUUACUGGGCGUAAAGAGCUCGUAGGUGGUUUGUCGCGUUGUUCGUGAAAACUCACAGCUCAACUGUGGGCGUGCGGGCGAUACGGGCAGACUGGAGUACUGCAGGGGAGACUGGAAUUCCUGGUGUAGCGGUGGAAUGCGCAGAUAUCAGGAGGAACACCAAUGGCGAAGGCAGCUCGCUGGAACGGUACUGACGCUGAGGCGCGAAAGCGUGGGGAGCAAACAGG
rnacentral:rRNA from 1 species